ACGCUCGACACCUACGGGAAGCAGCAGUGGGGAAUAUUGCACAAUGGAGGAAACUCUGAUGCAGCGACGCCGCGUGGAGGAAGAAGGUCUUCGGAUUGUAAACUCCUGUUGUUGAGGACGAUAAUGACGGUACUCAACAAGGAAGUGACGGCUAACUACGUGCCAGCAGCCGCGGUAAUCUGAGCGGGCUGGCAAGGC
rnacentral:rRNA from 1 species